AGAAGCGCAAGGUCCUGGGUUCAAUCCCCAGCCCCGGGAAAAAAAAAGAAAAAGAAAACAGGGUUCAACAUAUACAAGAGGACUGAAAUAAUCCCAAGCAUCCUAUCAGAUCACAACAGACUAAGGCUGGUCCUCAAUAUCAAAAAGGACAGAAAGCCCACAUACACAUGGAAACUGAAUAACAAUCUACUGAAUGAUACAUAUGGAAGUUGAAAAACGAUCUACUCACUGAUAACUUGGUCAAGGAAGAAAUAAAGA
rnacentral:lncRNA from 1 species